UACCCGGGGCCCGAGUGAUGGUCACGAUUAUUUGGUCUAAGGCAUCCGUAGGCGGUUUAAUAAGUCUCUUGUGAAAUCCUCUAGCAAACUAGAGGGCGUGCAAAAGAUACUAUUAGACUUGAGACUGGGAGAGGACAACGAUACUUCUUGUGUAGGGGUUAAAUCCUUUAAUCCAAGAAGGAUCACCUGUGGCGAAAGCGGUUGUCUAGAACAGGUCUGACGCUGAGGGAUGAAAGCUAGGGGAGCGAUCGGG
rnacentral:rRNA from 1 species